rnacentral:rRNA from 1 species
GUGAUGAAGGUUUUCGGAUCGUAAAACUCUGUUGUUAGGGAAGAACAAGUACCGUUCGAAUAGGGCGGCACCUUGACGGUACCUAACCAGAAAGCCGCGGCUAACUACGUGCCAGCAGCCGCGGUAAUACGUAGGUGGCAAGCGUUGUCCGGAAUUAUUGGGCGUAAAGCGCGCGCAGGCGGUUUCUUAAGUCUGAUGUGAAAGCCCCCGGCUCAACCGGGGAGGGUCAUUGGAAACUGGGGAACUUGAGUGCAGAAGAGGAGAGUGGAAUUCCACGUGUAGCGGUGAAAUGCGUAGAGAUGUGGAGGAACACCAGUGGCGAAGGCGACUCGCUGGUCUGUAACUGACGCUGAGGCGCGAAAGCGUGGGGAGCGAACAGGAUUAGAUACCCUGGUAGUCCACGCCGUAAACGAUGAGUGCUAAGUGUUAGAGGGUUUCCGCCCUUUAGGGCUGCAGCAAACGCAUUAAGCACUCCGCCUGGGGAGUACGGUCGCAAGACUGAAACUCAAAGGAAUUGACGGGGGCCCGCACAAGCGGUGGAGCAUGUGGUUUAAUUCGAAGCAACGCGAAGAACCUUACCCAGGUCUUGACAUCCCUCUGACAACCCUAGAGAUAGGGUUUCCCCUUCGGGGGCAGAAGUGACAGGGGGUGCAUGGUUGUCGUCAGCUCGUGUCGUGAGAUGUUGGGUUAAGUCCCGCAA